GGGUGAGUAACACGUGAGUAACCUGCCCCAGGCUUUGGGAUAACCCCGGGAAACCGGGGCUAAUACCGGAUAUGACCAUCUGUCGCAUGGUGGGUGGUGGAAAGAUUUUUUGGCUUGGGAUGGGCUCGCGGCCUAUCAGCUUGUUGGUGGGGUGAUGGCCUACCAAGGCGGCGACGGGUAGCCGGCCUGAGAGGGCGACCGGCCACACUGGGACUGAGACACGGCCCAGACUCCUACGGGAGGCAGCAGUGGGGAAUCUUGCACAAUGGGCGGAAGCCUGAUGCAGCGACGCCGCGUGAGGGAUGACGGCCUUCGGGUUGUAAACCUCUUUCAGCAGGGACGAAGCGUUUGUGACGGUACCUGCAGAAGAAGCGCCGGCCAACUACGUGCCAGCAGCCGCGGUAAGACGUAGGGCGCAAGCGUUGUCCGGAUUUAUUGGGCGUAAAGAGCUCGUAGGCGGCUUGUCGCGUCGACUGUGAAAACCCGUGGCUCAACUGCGGGCUUGCAGGCGAUACGGGCAGGCUAGAGUUCGGUAGGGGAGACUGGAAUUCCUGGUGUAGCGGUGAAAUGCGCAGAUAUCAGGAGGAACACCGGUGGCGAAGGCGGGUCUCUGGGCCGAUACUGACGCUGAGGAGC
rnacentral:rRNA from 1 species